ACACGUGCACUUUAUAUAAUAGCAUAAAUAGUAUAGAUAAUUAGUUAGUUUUUCUGUUGGUAAAGGAAAGAAAGUUCUAUGAUUUUUAUGGCUACAGGCUUAUUACUUGGCUGUGCCCUUUCCAAUUGAGAAAGCUCCGAUUAGGGAGAUAACUACUUUGAAUGGUGGGGUGAAAAUCUCUGAGCUGUUAAAUUAUCCAGUCAGAGGUCUUGUUUUUGAGGGUGGAAAUACUCUGGAAGAUUUGUCCAAUGCUGUCUCGGAUUCCUGCAUUUGCCUUCAAGAUAACAUUCAAGUGGGAGCGUUGUGCUUGUGAGCAGGAUUGAUUAGCCUCAGUAAUGCUCAUGAAGAAUCUUCAAGUUGGUGUAUGCCCUAAGUGAACUACAAACUAAGCUUCAGAAGUGAUUGAAGUAGCUAAAUUGGAAUAGCCUUAACCGUACCUGACUCGGAUUAUUGGUGGUUUUGCUUUCAGGAGAUAAUGCACGAUCCUCAGGUGGCAGCCGAUGGAUUCACCUACGAAGGAGAUGCUCUGCGUGGAUGGUUGGAAAAUGGCCGAGAAACUUCCCCGAUGACCAAUUUGAGACUGGAUCACUUGCAUCUCACUCCCAACCAUGCACUGAGACUUGCUAUUCAAGAUUGGCUUUGCAAAGUUUAACAUACCAUUCGUAUACAUUCAGUCUAUGUCAUAAUGUAUAUUUGUAGAGUCUUCUUGUAUUUGGAGAAAAAAAAACCCUUUUACCAUUGUAUUUGGAUAACUAUUGAAAUAUUCUGUCUAAAGAGGACUGGGAGAAACAACAGGCUAAAGAGGUAGAGCAUUGCAUUGGCUUCUGUAUGCCAGUUGUAUCAAAAUCUUGUAUUGGUAUCACGAACUUUUUUUUAUGUAUUUUAUUUUAUUUGUAUGUUAA